rnacentral:rRNA from 1 species
UCGAUGAAGUACGCAGCGAAAUGCGAUACGUAAUGCGAAUUGCAAGACCUCGUGAAUCAUUAAGAUUUUGAACGCACAUUGCGCUUUCGGGUUUUCCCGAUAGCAUGCUUGUCUGAGUGUCUGUGAACCCCACUCAGUGUUCUGUUGGUCGAGGUAGAGCUAACAGAGCCAUCUGUCAUAGCAAUCUCGACGAACUGGAUAGCUGGACUUUGGUGGUGUCCCGCCGAACUUCGGUACGGUACGGGGUCUCCGCUUGAAUGGAAAAGACAACAGAUCAGGACGUGUUGCCCUCUCAUUGUUGACAACUUGCAACGAAGCAAGUGUUGCGCUGCAACGAGACCAUCGUCUAUCUCCGGUAGCACCACCUAGGUGUUGUGAGGAGUUGUGGCGGCUGGUUCUUGUGACAGAGUGAUGCUGUUGCUGAUGUCAACUAGGAGGAGGUGACAAACGCUUGUACCCUGCUUUUGCUUUUGCUAGCAAGGAGCACAAGCGCUUUUGAAUUCCAGAUCUCAGCUUAAGCAAGAGGACCCGCCGAAUUUAAGCAUAUAAUUAAGCGGAGGAAAAGAAACUAACCAGGAUUCCCUCAGUAAGGGCGACUGAAGCGGGAAGAGCUCAGGAUGUGAAUCUGCGCUCGUGCGCCGAAUUGGGUCCAAUCUGCGUC